GAGUUUGAUCCUGGUUCAGAUUGAACGCUAGCGGGAUGCCUUACACAUGCAAGUCGAACGGCAGCACGGACUUCGGUCUGGUGGCGAGUGGCGAACGGGUGAGUAAUGUAUCGGAACGUGCCCAGUAGCGGGGGAUAACUACGCGAAAGCGUAGCUAAUACCGCAUACGCCCUACGGGGGAAAGCAGGGGAUCGCAAGACCUUGCACUAUUGGAGCGGCCGAUAUCGGAUUAGCUAGUUGGUGGGGUAACGGCUCACCAAGGCGACGAUCCGUAGCUGGUUUGAGAGGACGACCAGCCACACUGGGACUGAGACACGGCCCAGACUCCUACGGGAGGCAGCAGUGGGGAAUUUUGGACAAUGGGGGAAACCCUGAUCCAGCCAUCCCGCGUGUGCGAUGAAGGCCUUCGGGUUGUAAAGCACUUUUGGCAGGAAAGAAACGUCAUGGGUUAAUACCCCGUGAAACUGACGGUACCUGCAGAAUAAGCACCGGCUAACUACGUGCCAGCAGCCGCGGUAAUACGUAGGGUGCAAGCGUUAAUCGGAAUUACUGGGCGUAAAGCGUGCGCAGGCGGUUCGGAAAGAAAGAUGUGAAAUCCCAGAGCUUAAUUUUGGAACUGCAUUUUUAACUACCGGGCUAGAGUGUGUCAGAGGGAGGUGGAAUUCCGCGUGUAGCAGUGAAAUGCGUAGAUAUGCGGAGGAACACCGAUGGCGAAGGCAGCCUCCUGGGAUAACACUGACGCUCAUGCACGAAAGCGUGGGGAGCAAACAGGAUUAGAUAC
rnacentral:rRNA from 1 species